GCUGGCGUAGCUCAAUUGGUAGAGCAGCUGACUUGUAAUCAGCAGGCUGCGUGUUCAAGUCCCAUCGCCAGCUCCA
rnacentral:tRNA from 1 species